GACGAACGCUGGCGGCGUGCUUAACACAUGCAAGUCGAACGGAAAGGCCCUGCUUUUGUGGGGUGCUCGAGUGGCGAACGGGUGAGUAACACGUGAGUAACCUGCCCUUGACUUUGGGAUAACUUCAGGAAACUGGGGCUAAUACCGGAUAGGAGCUCCUGCUGCAGGGUGGGGGUUGGAAAGUUUCGGCGGUUGGGGAUGGACUCGCGGCUUAUCAGCUUGUUGGUGGGGUAGUGGCUUACCAAGGCUGUGACGGGUAGCCGGCCUGGGAGGGUGACCGGCCACAUUAGGACUGAGAUACGGCCCAGACUCCUACGGGAGGCAGCAGGGGGGAAUAUUGCCCAAUGGGCGGAAGCCUGAUGCAGCAACGCCGCGUGCGGGAUGACGGCCUUCGGGUUGUAAACCGCUUUCGCCUGUGACGAAGCGUGAGUGACGGUAAUGGGUAAAGAAGCACCGGCUAACUACGUG
rnacentral:rRNA from 1 species